UGUUUGUAAUAAUUUUUUUUGAUUUUAAAAAAAAAUUAUUUAUGGUUUGUCUAUCCCUAAAAUUGGUUUGUUGUGAAAUGAAUCAAAUUUAGGGAAUAGGCUUUCAUAAAUAAGUUUUUUUUAAAGUCUUAAAGACCUUUUUUAAAAUUAAACUUUUGUAUUCAUUUGUCUAAAUUUUUUUAAAUAAUUUAAAAACAACUUUUGACAAUGGAUCUCUUGGUUCUCGCAACGAUGAAGAACGCAGCAAAAUGCGAUAAGUAAUGUGAAUUGCAGAAUACGUGAAUCAUCAAAUCUUCGAACGCAUAUUGCACUUUUUUAGUUUACUAAAAAAGUAUGUCUGUUUGAGUAUCAGUAAAAUAUUCUCAUAAAAACAUUUUUUGUUUUUAUGGUUAUGAGUGUUUUACAACGAUAAACAAGUUGUUUCACUUUAAAUUCAUUUUAAUUUAAGACCAUUUAUGGUUUUAAUAAAAAAUUGGAUAAAAUUUUCCCGUAAAAAGGAAUAAACUUUUCAGUUUUUUAAUUAUUACCAACAACGGUCCGAUUUAAAAGGAAAUUUAUUUAAAUAACUUGAUCUCAAAUCAGAUAAGAGUACCCGCUGAACUUAAGCAUAUCAAUAAGCGGAGGAAAAGAAACUAACAAGGAUUCCUUAGUAACGGCGAGUGAAGCGGGAAGAGCUCAAAUUUGAAACCUUCAAGGUUCUACCUUGACGAAUUGUAGUUUAAAGAAGUGUUUUCUGUUAGAUGAGUAGCAAAAGUUCCUUGGAAUGGGACAUCAUAGAGGGUGAGAAUCCGUAUUUGGUUAUUCAUUCUAGCUUUGUGAUACACUUUCAAAGAGUCGGAUUGUUUGGGAAUGCAGUCCAAAAUGGGUGGUAAAUUUCAUCUAAAGCUAAAUAUUGGCGAGAGACCGAUGGCGAACAAGUACCGUGAGGGAAAGAUGAAAAGAACUUUGAAAAGAGAGUUAAACAGUACGUGAAAUUGUCAAAAGGGAAGCGUUUGACACCAGUGUUGUUUUUCCGAAAAUCAAUUACGAAUGGCUUGAUUUUGUGUUGUAUUGACCUUAUCAGCUUUCUUCACUUUUUCGAGUCUUUCUUAAUGCACUUUUCGGUUAACAAGUCAACGUCAAUUUCUUUUGUUGUAAAAGAGUAUUCGGAAGGUGGCUUUCUUUUCGGAGAAAGUGUUUAUAGCCUAUACUUCUACAAUCGGAGAGAUUGAGGUCUGCAGCGUAGAUCCUUCGGGUUAGAUACACUCGUGCUAAGUUGUAGCUUUUCAUAGACAACUUGUUGACUAUGUUUAGUCAUGCGGCUUACUCGCUUGUGCUAUUUUACCUACGCUUAGGAUGUUG
rnacentral:misc_RNA from 1 species